UCUGAGAAGUUCUUGUGGUGGUCUG
rnacentral:piRNA from 1 species